AUUGAACGCUGGCGGCAUGCCUUACACAUGCAAGUCGAACGGCAGCACGGGUGCUUGCACCUGGUGGCGAGUGGCGAACGGGUGAGUAAUACAUCGGAACAUGUCCUGUAGUGGGGGAUAGCCCGGCGAAAGCCGGAUUAAUACCGCAUACGAUCUACGGAUGAAAGCGGGGGACCUUCGGGCCUCGCGCUAUAGGGUUGGCCGAUGGCUGAUUAGCUAGUUGGUGGGGUAAAGGCCUACCAAGGCGACGAUCAGUAGCUGGUCUGAGAGGACGACCAGCCACACUGGGACUGAGACACGGCCCAGACUCCUACGGGAGGCAGCAGUGGGGAAUUUUGGACAAUGGGCGAAAGCCUGAUCCAGCAAUGCCGCGUGUGUGAAGAAGGCCUUCGGGUUGUAAAGCACUUUUGUCCGGAAAGAAAUCCUUGGUUCUAAUAUAUCCG
rnacentral:rRNA from 2 species